GCAGCAUGCGCGUGAUGAGAAGGCCUUCGGGUUGUAAAGUUCUUUCGGUAGCGAGGAAGGCAUUUAGUUUAAUAAACUGGAUGAUUGACGUUAACUACAGAAGAAGCACCGGCUAACUCCGUGCCAGCAGCCGCGGUAAUACGGAGGGUGCGAGCGUUAAUCGGAAUAACUGGGCGUAAAGGGCACGCAGGCGGUGACUUAAGUGAGGUGUGAAAGCCCCGGGCUUAACCUGGGAAUUGCAUUUCAUACUGGGUCGCUAGAGUACUUUAGGGAGGGGUAGAAUUCCACGUGUAGCGGUGAAAUGCGUAGAGAUGUGGAGGAAUACCGAAGGCGAAGGCAGCCCCUUGGGAAUGUACUGACGCUCAUGUGCGAAAGCGUGGGGAGCAAACA
rnacentral:rRNA from 1 species